GGGGGCGACACGGCUUCGACGCGUUUGGUGAACGCGGAGUCGCGUGCCGAGGUCCCGGCGGCCUCGUAAAACAGCCGGGAAACGCUUCAAACGCCAACUCCAACCUGGCGCUGGCUGCGUAAGUAACCCUUACCAGCCCGUCUCCUGAUCUGCCCGCCCGAGGCGGGUCCUGAGACGACGACGAGUCGGGCUGCGACCCCGGACGACGCUGUCCCGUCCAGGGCGAGACGCAUGCGGCAGCUAGCCCCAGGGAGGGCCGACCGCUGGCCACCCUGACGGCGAACCCAAACGGUGGUCUACGCACGUAGACGCUCUGCGGGAUCCAUUCGCGGACGCGGGUUCGACUCCCGCCGCCUCCACUG
rnacentral:tmRNA from 1 species